rnacentral:lncRNA from 1 species
CAAUUUCUAAAUGCAAAUACUCGGUACUUUUUUUCUAAGAAUAAGACGAAUGCGCUUAGGAAUGAAGAAAAUGUAAAAUUGAAUAAAGAAGCCAAUGUUCCAAGCACCAGUGCCUGCUCUUUAACUGCAGAGGUACGAAUAACCAUCGGUGCUAAGGCACCGCUUAAAAUAAAGGAAUACUACCUCACAUCUACCUACUUCCAAUUAUUAUUGUUUCUGAGAUCUCUUAUAUGUUCACACCGGAACGUUCACAUAUGCGACUUGAAAAUUGCAAUCGCUGAUUUCUUCUCAUCUUCCACUUUUCACACCUUGAGCUUAGUAAGGGUGACACAAGUGCAUGCCAUCUACCCCGAGGAGAGAGAUUUGUACUCACUGGAUCGUGAAAAUGACUGUUAACAUUGACCAACAAAAUUAUCCAGAGAGUGGUUAGUUACGCACGUUCAAUACUCUAAUUAUUCGGUUGUUGGUUUUUGGACCUAAUUAGAGAGAAGCCUUUGUAAACCGCUUACGCCGGCUAAAGGCUUUUGAAUGCAUUGCACACUGCUUGCAUAUUUUGGUACGAAGAGUAUACAGUAUGUCAUCCUCUGCGUUCGACGGCCUGAUUUUAGCUGGUCCUAUAAAUAUGAAUUUUUCAAUUAUUCUCCUUCUCAUGUGUUUUUCUGCCUGCCCAUUGGUAUUAUCACAGUUGCUUCAUAUGAAUCAAAAUAGCUUUAUAGAAAUAAGAGCGUCCGUUUUUCUUUGCUGACUUUUUUUAAAGUGCUCAAUGCUCAACGCAUGUAACCUUUCAAGUCAAAAUCAGUUUAUUAAUUAUCUUAAGUAUCAUUUAAAUUUAUAACAGGUCUGAGAAUAAUUUGACCACAACUCGAGAUUAAUCUUGACGUUUAAAAUAAAGCUAAAUACCAAAUUUACAAUUUUUAAGCUCGUGAUUUCAGUGAGAUCUUCUCUGGGACUAAAAAAGAAACAACAAGAACUCAAAAUACGUAACGGUAAAAAAGUGCAGUUAAUAAUUACGUGAGGUUAAACAUUUUUCCUUUAUUUAAAUAGG